CAAGCCAUGUUUGCUACUGCACCAGAAUUUGGUCUCACUCCCACCCCAACGUGGCACUUCAGUCGCAACAUACCACAAUUUUUGUCAGACUAUAAAUGAGCUCAUCAGCCAGUCAGCCCCUCCCUCCUUCGAUCAGCACCAACUCCAGGCCCAAAUCCGUCAUCCUCAUUCCUCGCGCAUAUUCUUUUCUUUUCUUUUUCUGUUUUUUUUCCCCUUUUCAAUCUCCCGCACCCGCAGCAGACUCAUAGUAGGUGCAUUAACAUACACAAAAUCUCUCUCUCUCUCUCUACAUAUAUAUAUAUAUAUAUAUCACCCCUUGCUUUCACGAGAAAAUCUUUCCAAAAAGAAAAGGAAAAUUAAAAUAUUGCAUCAUUAUUUCAAUUCGAGUAUACCAAGGCUACCUACACUUCCAUUCGCGACAAUUUAUACAUAGUAUUUGUGUGUUUUUUUCGGUCUCUCCUUCUCUCACAUGAGUAGUUGCUUGUUGUAGAGAGAGAGAGAAAGAAAGAAAGCUGCGCGGAACAGAGAUCCCCUAUUCAGACACACCAAACCUCUCUGCAAUUGCGACGUCUCCCUCUAUUCUUCUAUUAAUUCGAAGCCGAUAUUUUCACCCAGUUUCGAUUCUUUAAUUCGAUUGCUCGUAUUAUUCUAUUUGCUAUUUUUUCCCCGAGGGAAAUAAUUCAGUGUUUCUCGCUUGCGAGCCAAGUUUCUCUGCUAUAUCUAUAUGCAUAUUCCAGUAUUUAGGGUUCGAAGUAUGGAAAAUUAGGGCAUCCGAGGAUAGAUUGGGAGUUGGAAUUGGGGCCUGAACUGGUGAUUGAGGUAAUUGAGGAAGAUGAUAAUCAAGAGGAACUUGAAAUCGGUAAUGCCGACUUUGAAACGCUGCCGAGUCGCUGACUCGGGUGCAGAGGACGACGAAAGUUCUGGGAAUCGGAAGAAACGGAAACCUAAUAACGGCUACUAUCCUCUGCGUCUUCUCCGUGACGUUGCCGCAGGUGUAAUUCCUUUCAGUGGAUAUGGUAUCCAGAGUAUUCUAGCACAAGGGCGCGUUGCCGGAGUUGCUGCUGCGCCCACGGCCGCUUCCUGGUGUAAUGGAGGUUCGUUAUGCCCGGCUGAGGCGGAGUCAAAAUUGAAGGGUAUUGACAGCGGCGAUAGAAUAGUGCAGGAGGCUCCUCGCCCGCCCUUGGUGAGGACUUCAAGAGGGCGAGUUCAGGUUCUACCUUCUCGAUUUAAUGACUCAGUUCUUGAUAAUUGGCGGAAAGAGAAGAGUAAAACUAGUGCGAAGGAAUCGGCAUUGGAUCCUGAAUUCAAUCCCUAUAAAGAAAGAGCCAAUCUCAAAAACUCCAAGCUUCGUGGAGAUACUAAGGAUAAGGUUAACUACCGAUGUCGUGAGGUUCCUCCAUAUCUGGGGGAUGAAACGGAAGAAUUGGGGUCUCAAAGGUCCAAGAGAUACGGUGUUAGGAAGUAUUCUAGCUCGCGGAGUACAUUAACUUCUUUGCAUGAGCAACAAGCAGAGAUCGAGGAGGAUGGAGAAUUAGAAGAGUGUAUAUAUUUGAGUGGCAUUAAUGAAUACGUUAAGGAGGAGGUGGAAAAGAAACGCAGGAUAUAUGGUCCCAAUGACUUUGUUUCAGGUGAUAUAGUUUGGGCCAUAUCCGGGAGGCGUUGUCCUGCCUGGCCAGCUAUUGUCCUUGAUACGGACACACAAACUCCUCAACAAGUUCUGAAUUUCCGUGUUGCUGGUGCAAUUUGCGUGAUGUUUUUUGGUUAUUCUGGUAAUGGGACGCAAAGGGAUUAUGCAUGGGUUAAACGAGGGAUGAUAUUUCCUUUUGUAGACUAUGUAGAUAGUUUUCAGGGACAGACAGAGUUGAAUGAUGGAAAGCCCAGUGAUCUGCGUACUGCCAUAGAGGAGGCAUUUCUGGCUGAAAAUGGAUUUAACGAGAUGUUGAUGGUUGAAAUCAACGCAGCAGCGGGCAAUUUAGAAUAUCUCCAGUCUCUGACGAGAGGGGUAUAUGAGGCAUCUGAUUCAAACCAGGAUCAGGAGUGUAAUUCAUUGAAUAAGGAGCGGCUCAGAAAGAAAGGGAUAGAAUCCUGUGAGGCCUGUGGCUUGAGUAUGUCUCCUAAAAUGCCAAAGAAACUGAAUGAUUCAAAUCUUGGAAGCAGUCGUCUGUGUCCUUCUUGCGCUCGGUUAAAGAAAAUGAAGCAUUACUGUGCCAUAUGCAAGAAGAUUUGGAAUCAGUCAGAUAGUGGUACUUGGGUACGUUGUGAUGGCUGUAAAGUUUGGGUGCAUGCCGAGUGUGACAAAAUUUCAAACAGUAGUUAUAAGGAUCUGGGAACCACCGAAUAUUAUUGUCCUGAAUGCAAAGCAAGGUUUAAUUUUGAAUUAUCUGAUUCCGAAAAUCUGGUCUCUAAAACCAAACAUAACAAGAAGAAUGGUCUGCCGGAUAAAGUCAAUGUUGUCUGCUCUGGGGUGGAAGGCAUCUAUUUUCCUAGCCUUCACUUAGUUGUUUGCAAGUGUGGCUCUUGUGGAACUGAGAAGCAGGCACUAAGUGAGUGGGAACGACAUACAGGUUGCAAAACUAAAAACUGGAAGACUAGCAUCAGGGUGAAAGGGUCCAUGAUACCACUCGAGCAAUGGAUGCUGAAGGUAGCUGAGUAUCAUUCACGCAAUGUGGUUCCUGGAAAAUCUCUUAAACGCCCUUCCAUUAAAGUCAGGAGACAGAAAUUGCUUGCUUUUCUUCAAGAGAAAUAUGAACCUGUUUAUGCGAAGUGGACGACAGAAAGGUGUGCAGUAUGCCGAUGGGUUGAAGAUUGGGAUUACAACAAAAUCAUCAUAUGCAACAGAUGUCAAAUAGCUGUUCAUCAAGAAUGCUAUGGUGCAAGAAAUGUUCAGGAUUUCACUUCAUGGGUCUGUAGAUCCUGUGAGACACCUGAUGUUGAGCGGGACUGCUGCCUCUGCCCUGUCAAAGGUGGUGCUAUGAAGCCUACUGAUAUUCCGCCUCUAUGGGUUCAUAUUACAUGUGCUUGGUUUCAACCGGAAGUUUGUUUUGCAAGUGAUGAAAAGAUGGAACCUGCCAUCGGCAUCCUUAGGAUUCCUUCAAAUUCUUUUGUCAAGAUCUGUGUAGUUUGCAAGCAAAUUCAUGGCUCCUGUACACAAUGUUCCAAGUGUUCCACUUAUUACCAUGCAACAUGUGCAUCAAGGGCUGGCUAUCGCAUGGAGUUGCAUUGCUUGGAGAAAAAUGGGAAACAGAUCACCAAAAUGGUUUCCUAUUGCGCUUACCACAGGGCUCCAAAUCCAGAUAAUGUUUUGAUUAUUCAGACUCCUAAAGGUACUUACUCUACAAAAGGUCUUCUCCAGAACAAGAAGAAUACCUGUUCUAGGUUAAUUUCAUCAAACAGAUUGAAACUUGAGGAAGCCCCAAGUACAGAGGUUACUGAUGUUGAGCCUCUCUCUGCUGCAAGAUGCCGGAUUUACAAGAGAUUGAAUAAUAAGGGCCAGAGAACGAGCGAAGAGGCUGUUUUCCACAGAGUAAUGGGACCUUGCCAUCACUCUCUAAAUGCAAUACAGAGCCUGAAUACCAUCAAAGAAAUAGAAGAGCCUAAGACCUUUUCUACUUUCCGCGAACGUCUUCGCCAUUUACAGAGAAUGGAAAUGGAACGUGUUUGUUUUGGUAGAUCUGGAAUCCAUGGAUGGGGCCUCUUUGCUCGUAGGAAUAUCCUAGAAGGAGAAAUGGUUCUUGAGUAUCGCGGAGAGCAGGUCAGGCGCAGUAUUGCAGAUCUGAGGGAGGCCCAGUAUCGCAAUAAGGGCAAAGACUGCUAUCUUUUUAAGAUCAGUGAAGAAGUCGUAGUAGACGCCACGGAUAAGGGAAACAUUGCUCGGUUAAUUAACCAUUCAUGCAUGCCGAACUGCUAUGCAAGGAUCAUGAGCGUAGGUGAUGACGAGAGCCGGAUAGUGCUUAUUGCCAAGACAAAUGUCGCUGCUGGUGAUGAAUUAACGUAAACUCUCUCCCUCUCUCUCUCUCUCUCUCUCUCUCUGCGCUUGAUACAUUGUAGAGAGGAGAAGAAGCAGACUGACCAGCUAUGAAUUCUUUCUUUGGCCACAUUGUUGCAGGGGGCUGGUUUUCGUUGGAUGGAUAGGGGGAGGAGUUGUUGGGCAUUGGGAUUGGACCCCCCUGACAGACAGUAGAAGAGUAAUACUCCUAGUCAAGAAGAGAGGAGGGAGGGGUGUGGGCGUUGGGAGGAGACCCGUGCGUAGACGCAGCAAAUCCUCCUCCACCACGCUACUCUCACGCGUCACGCUUCCCUUGCCCGCCUUCUCUAUCCGGCUAUCCCUAUAAUACAGGAAUGAAUAAGGAUUACGACUCAGCAACGAGACAGGACUACAGAAUCAUUCAUUCGAGUCAGAGAGUUGCAACAACCUCCCUCCAACUUCUCGCCUCGCUCAUACUCAUAUUUCACGCGCGCGCACUACUACAGUCUACAGGUAGAGGUGCAGGUGAAAAAGACGACUUUGUAGUUUGGAUGGAUGGAUCAUUUGAUGAUGGCAAGUGAAUCCGUUUAAAACAUGUGAAGAAGUGUAUGUUGCGGCUAAUCCAAUCCGCUUUGGAAUUUUUGGUGUCCGUUCAUGGACAUAUGCAGCAGCAGCAGCAGUAUUGCUAGCUAGCACAUCGACACCGGCACUGGCUACUGCACCCAUCCAUCCAAGCUUCAUUUAUUUUUAUUUCCUUAUACUGCAGUUAGUAGCAAGCGAUUAUUCAACCAAAACCUCUCUCCCCCCCCCC